GCGCGAAACCUCCGCAAUGUGAGAAAUCGCGACGGGGGGAUCCCAAGUGCCAUUCUUAACGGGAUGGCUUUUCUUAAGUGUAAAAAGCUUUUGGAAUAAGAGCUGGGCAAGACCGGUGCCAGCCGCCGCGGUAACACCGGCAGCUCUAGUGGUAGCUGUUUUUAUUGGGCCUAAAGCGUUCGUAGCCGGUUUGAUAAGUCACUGGUGAAAUCCUGUAGCUUAACUGUGGGAAUUGCUGGUGAUACUGUUGAACUUGAGGUCGGGAGAGGUUAGCGGUACUCCCAGGGUAGAGGUGAAAUUCUGUAAUCCUGGGAGGACCACCUGUGGCGAAGGCGGCUAACUGGAACGAACCUGACGGUGAGGGACGAAAGCUAGGGGCGCGAACCGGA
rnacentral:rRNA from 1 species